AAAACCACCCCGUUUCAGCCCUCAGCCUGAGGGCUCAGAUUCAGGCUCAGGUCUAGGGUUUGGGGAAUAUUAAAGUUUACAAGUCCAAUCUUACUCCAUCCAUGCACACACAUGGAGAAGCCGGGAGAGGACGCGGCCAGAGACGGGCUCCUGUCCCUGAACCCCUGCUGGGGUGGAAGCAGGUGCACAAUGCUUCUUUGAGUAUCUCCGUAUCUGUGACUGAUAUCCAGAUGCAAGGCUUCUUCUGGGCAUCCCUGGGAAUGGGAGUGCAUAGACAUGCAUGGUCAAAUUACAGCACAGCCUCUACACUUUUACUGAAGAUGGAAACCUGUUUUCCAAAGUUUACUUGCCUAACAUGAUGUAACUACCAUGCAAAAAUAAAAUUAAGAAUAAAAAUUUAAAAAUGAAA